AUGUAUGAUGUGAUUCAGAAUACUUCAUUACCUAAUACAAAUUUCAAUUUUUCAUCUAAUAACCAGUACAUAGCUUCAUGCUCCAUGGAUAAAACUGUGAGAGUCUGGGAGAUCUCUAAAGGCACUUGUAUCAGAGUCGUAUAUGGAGUUUCUUCCUAGCUAUGCAUCUGCUUUCAUCCCGUAAGUCUAAACAUGUUGCUUGUUGGCUGGUCCUUUGAUCAAUUUUCUGCAACUAAUUUUAGCACUGGGAGAGUAACCAGCAAACUCACCUGUGACAAUGCGGUUACAACGUUGGAUAUCGACCACAUUGGUCAGCUUAUUUUUGCUGGUGAUGUGUAGGGUUACAUAUACACUAUUGGUGUGAACUCUCACACAGGGUCUUUAUCUAGAACUCAUAAGAACAAGAGUUGUAAGAGAAAAUCUUCCGUUACAACCCUCUAGUACCGUACCUUCUCUCUCGUAGCACAUUGUCCAGUACUUCUCUCUUGUGCUCAAGAUGGAAACCUGUAUUUCUUCAGCAUUGCAACAAAUUCCCAUGGAUACUUAACUCUCAUAUGCUCUCUAAAAUUGGCUUCGCCGGUGCAGAAUAUCCAUGCUUCUUUCUGUCCACUUCUUUCCCUUGAGAAAGGGGAAUUCAUAGUUAUUGGAAGUGGAUAUUCGAAUGUUUACUUCUAGGAUUUGGCUCGGCCAAAGAAUUCAUGUGUAAAUAAACUGCAAGUAUGCUUACUGUCCCUAUACUUUGUGCAUCUUAAAUAUUGUUUACAAGUUGAGGUAUUGAUGAAGCCAUUUACAUCCCUGGGACACGUCUCUCCAGUAAUGGGAGUAGCCUGGAAUCAUGGGGAAAAUUUGUUUGCCUCAUCUGAUUCAGACGAUACAAUUAUUGUAUGGAAACGAGCAAAAACUAAUUAG
rnacentral:rRNA from 1 species